AUGAACGCUAGCUACAGGCUUAACACAUGCAAGUCGAGGGGAAACGACAUCGAAAGCUUGCUUUUGAUGGGCGUCGACCGGCGCACGGGUGAGUAACGCGUAUCCAACCUGCCCACCACUUGGGGAUAACCUUGCGAAAGUAAGACUAAUACCCAAUGAUAUCUCUAGAAGACAUCUGAAAGAGAUUAAAGAUUUAUCGGUGAUGGAUGGGGAUGCGUCUGAUUAGCUUGUUGGCGGGGUAACGGCCCACCAAGGCAACGAUCAGUAGGGGUUCUGAGAGGAAGGUCCCCCACAUUGGAACUGAGACACGGUCCAAACUCCUACGGGAGGCAGCAGUGAGGAAUAUUGGUCAAUGGACGAGAGUCUGAACCAGCCAAGUAGCGUGCAGGAAGACGGCCCUAUGGGUUGUAAACUGCUUUUAUAAGGGAAUAAAGUGAGAGUCGUGACUCUUUUUGCAUGUACCUUAUGAAUAAGGACCGGCUAAUUCCGUGCCAGCAGCCGCGGUAAUACGGAAGGUCCGGGCGUUAUCCGGAUUUAUUGGGUUUAAAGGGAGCGUAGGCCGGAGAUUAAGCGUGUUGUGAAAUGUAGAUGCUCAACAUCUGAACUGCAGCGCGAACUGGUUUCCUUGAGUACGCACAAAGUGGGCGGAAUUCGUGGUGUAGCGGUGAAAUGCUUAGAUAUCACGAAGAACUCCGAUUGCGAAGGCAGCUCACUGGAGCGCAACUGACGCUGAAGCUCGAAAGUGCGGGUAUCGAACAGGAUUAGAUACCCUGGUAGUCCACACCGUAAACGAUGAAUGCUAGGUGUGGGGGUGCAAACCUCCGUGCCGCAGUUAACACAAUAAGCAUUCCACCUGGGGAGUACGGCCGCAAGGUUGAAACUCAAAGGAAUUGACGGGGGCCCGCACAAGCGGUGGAGCAUGUGGUUUAAUUCGAAGCAACGCGAAGAACCUUACCAGGUCUUGACAUCGAUCUAAAAGGGAUGGAGACAUCCUCAUAGCUAUAGAGAAGACAGGUGGUGCAUGGUUGUCGUCAGCUCGUGCCGUGAGGUGUCGGCUUAAGUGCCAUAACGAGCGCAACCCCUCUCCUUAGUUGCCAUCAGGUUAAGCUGGGCACUCUGGGGACACUGCCACCGUAAGGUGUGAGGAAGGUGGGGAUGACGUCAAAUCAGCACGGCCCUUACGUCCGGGGCUACACACGUGUUACAAUGGCAGGUACAGAGAGACGGUCCCUUGCAAAAUGGAUCAAAUCCUUAAAGCCUGUCUCAGUUCGGACUGGGGUCUGCAACCCGACCCCACGAAGCUGGAUUCGCUAGUAAUCGCGCAUCAGCCAUGGCGCGGUGAAUACGUUCCCGGGCCUUGUACACACCGCCCGUCAAGCCAUGAAAGCCGGGGGCGCCUAAAGUCCGUGACCGUAAGGAGCGGCCUAGGGCGAAACUGGUAAUUGGGGCU
rnacentral:rRNA from 1 species